GCUGUAGUUCAGUGGUAGAGCAUCUGCUUUACAUGCAGAGGGUCCCAGGUUCAAUCCCAGCAUCUCCA